GGAGGUGGGAUGGGUGAGGGGUGGAGGGCAGAGGAGAAACUGCGUCAGGGAUGUGUCCGCCACCUUCAUCCUCCAGACGGGACUUGGGAGCGGCUGCAGGAAACCCUGAGAGAUUCCUCUUUAGGGAAGUCAUCCAGCCCUGGGGUCCCCUUAUGCCGGGAGCAGUGAGGACAGAAGAAUGACCAUCUAUCUUGCUGAAAGCUCUGUGAGGGAGGAACGGAAGAACGGAGGGAGCUACGACCUUGACCAUCCCCUGAGUGUCCAUGGCCUCUGUGCUCCGGAUGAUGCCGGGGCUGCCAGGGACCACAGAGCCACCCACUGGGAGGCUGGGGGUUGGCCUGGCUCAGGGGCGUUCGUCAGCCAUAGACACCCACAGCAUGUGGUGGGCAGGGCUGGGAGGUGACACAGGAACUGAAAAACCUGAGAAGCUCCAGCCACUCCGCAGGGGCCCUGCAGGGAAGCGUGGAAAGGCG
rnacentral:lncRNA from 1 species